ensembl:miRNA
UCGGUGGAUCCUCUGUUUUCACACAUGGACCACUGGAUGACUUCUCCAUGUCUUGGAGUAGAUCAGUGGGCAGCU